AGGACGAACGCUGGCGGCGUGCCUAACACAUGCAAGUCGAGCGAGGAGAUUCCUCGGGAUGAUCCUAGCGGCGGACGGGUGAGUAACACGUGGGCAACCUGCCUCAUAGAGAGGAAUAGCCUUCCGAAAGGGAGAUUAAUACCUCAUAACAUUGCAGUUUCGCAUGGAACAGCAAUUAAAGGAGUAAUCCGCUAUGAGAUGGGCCCGCGGCGCAUUAGCUAGUUGGUGAGGUAACGGCUCACCAAGGCGACGAUGCGUAGCCGACCUGAGAGGGUGAUCGGCCACAUUGGGACUGAGACACGGCCCAGACUCCUACGGGAGGCAGCAGUGGGGAAUAUUGCACAAUGGGGGAAACCCUGAUGCAGCCAACGCCGCGUGAGUGAUGACGGCCUUCGGGUUGUAAAGCUCUGUCUUCAGGGACGAUAAUGACGGUACCUGAGGAGGAAGCCACGGCUAACUACGUGCCAGCAGCUGC
rnacentral:rRNA from 1 species